AAGGUAGCGUGAUAAUUCGCCUCUUAAUUGCAGGCUUGUACGAACGGAUAAACGAGAGAAAAGCUGUCUCUUGAGUAACCCCUAUAAAUUGGCCUUCAGGUGAAGAGACCUGAAUAAAAUUAAAGGACAAGAAGACCCCGUAGAGCUUAGUCUUACCUUAUUUUAACUAUAAAUAACUUUAUAUUAUAACUAUAAUAUUUGCAAAGACUUGGCUGGGGCGGCCAAGGAGAAAAAAUCCUCCAUCUCCUAAUUAUUUGUAUAAAAUCAAAGGCCUAUAAGCCAAAUCAAUUGACCCUUUCUAAGAACAAAAAAUUUAGCUACCUCGGGGAUAACAGAUUAAUCCUUCUCGAUAGCUCACAUUGACAGAAGGGCUUGACACCUCGAUGUUGGCUUAGGGUACCCAAUAGAUCCGCAACAGUCUAUACUUGGUAGGUUUGUUCAACCUUUAAAACCCUACGUGAUCU
rnacentral:rRNA from 1 species